CCUACGGGAGGCAGCAGUGGGGAAUAUUGCACAAUGGGGGAAACCCUGAUGCAGCGACGCCGCGUGAGUGAAGAAGUAUUUCGGUAUGUAAAGCUCUAUCAGCAGGAACGAGACAAGACGGUACCUGACUAAGAAGCCCCGGCUAACUACGUGCCAGCAGCCGCGGUAAUACGUCGGGGGCAAGCGUUAUCCGGAAUCACUGGGUGGAAAGGGAGCGUAGACGGCUGAGCAAGCCUGAAGUGAAAGGCGGGGGCCCAACCCCCGGACUGCUUUGGGAACUGUACGGCUGGAGUGCAGGAGAGGUAAGUGGAAUUCCUAGUGUAGCGGUGAAAUGCGUAGAUAGUAGGAGGAACACCAGUGGCGAAGGCGGCUUACUGGACUGUAACUGACGUUGAGGCUCGAAAGCGUGGGGAGCAAACAGGAUUAGAUACCCUUGUAGUC
rnacentral:rRNA from 1 species